AACGUAGGACGCAAGCGUUAUCCGGAGUUACUGGGCGUAAAGCGCGGGCAGGCGGCUCGAAACGUCUGAUGUGAAAUCUCCUCGCUCAACGGGGGAGAGGCCAUUGGAAACGGUCGAGCUGGAGGGCAGUAGAGGUAGGCGGAAUCCGGGUGGAGUGGUGAAAUGCGUAGAUAUCAAGAGGAACACCUGAGGUGAAGACGGGUUGCUGGGCCAACACUGACGCUGAGGCGCGAAAGCCAGGGGAGCAAACGGGAUUAGAUACC
rnacentral:rRNA from 1 species